rnacentral:rRNA from 1 species
AUACGGAGGAUGCAAGCGUUAUCCGGAUUUAUUGGGUUUAAAGGGUGCGUAGGCGGUUUGCUAAGCGGGAGGUGAAAUGCCGGCGCUCAACGUCGGAAGUGCCUCCCGAACUGGUGGACUUGAAUGACUCUGCCGUGGGAGGAAUGUGUAGUGUAGCGGUGAAAUGCGUAGAUAUGCCACAGAACGCCGAUAGCGGAGGCAGCUCGCCAGGCCUGCAUUGACGCUCGGGCACGAAAGCGUGGGGAUCGAACAGGAUUAGAUACCCUGGUAGUCCACGCCGUAAACGAUGGGCGCUCGUCGUCGGCGGCAGACAGUCGGCGGCCAAGCGAAAGCGAUAAGCGCCCCACCUGGGGAGUACGGUCGCAAGGCUGAAACUCAAAUGAAUUGGCGGGG